ACGUGCUUUCCGUCCACCA
rnacentral:misc_RNA from 1 species